GACGAACCGUGCGAACGUUGUUCGGAAUUACUGGGCUUAAAGGGCGCGUAGGUGGUUUGCCAAGUCGGGGUUGAAAUCUUUCGGCUUAACCGGAAAAGUGGCUUCGAUACUGGCAAGCUGGAGGGAGGUAGGGGCGGAUGGAACUUCCGGUGGAGCGGUGAAAUGUGUUGAUAUCGGAAGGAACGCCGGUGGCGAAAGCGAUCCGCUGGACCUCUUCUGACACUGAGGCGCGAAAGCCAGGGGAGCAAACGGG
rnacentral:rRNA from 1 species